GAUGAACGCUGGCGGCGUGCCUAAUACAUGCAAGUCGAGCGAACAGACGAGGAGCUUGCUCCUCUGACGUUAGCGGCGGACGGGUGAGUAACACGUGGAUAACCUACCUAUAAGACUGGGAUAACUUCUGGAAACCGGAGCUAAUACCGGAUAAUAUAUUUAACCGCAUGGUUCAAUAGUGAAAGACGGUUUUGCUGUCACUUAUAGAUGGAUCCGCGCCGCAUUAGCUAGUUGGUAAGGUAACGGCUUACCAAGGCGACGAUGCGUAGCCGACCUGAGAGGGUGAUCGGCCACACUGGAACUGAGACACGGUCCAGACUCCUACGGGAGGCAGCAGUAGGGAAUCUUCCGCAAUGGGCGAAAGCCUGACGGAGCAACGCCGCGUGAGUGAUGAAGGUCUUCGGAUCGUAAAACUCUGUUAUUAGGGAAGAACAAAUGUGUAAGUAACUAUGCACGUCUUGACGGUACCUAAUCAGAAAGCCACGGCUAACUACGUG
rnacentral:rRNA from 1 species